rnacentral:rRNA from 1 species
UCAGGACGACGCUGGCGGCGUGCCUAAUACCAUGCAAGUCAACGGCUUUUCUAUGGAAGCUUGCUUCCACUGAGAAGAUAGUGGCGAACGGGUGAGUAACACGUGGGUAACCCUGCCCAUAAGAGGGGGGAUAACAUCCGGAAACGGGUGCUAAUACCGCAUAGUUUUCUUGAUCGCAUGAUCGGGAAGGAAAGACGGCCUUUGUGCUGUCGCUUAUGGAUGGACCCGCGGCGUAUUAGUUAGUUGGUGAGGUAACGGCUCACCAAGACGAUGAUACGUAGCCGACCUGAGAGGGUGAUCGGCCACAUUGGGACUGAGACACGGCCCAAACUCCUACGGGAGGCAGCAGUAGGGAAUCUUCCGCAAUGGACGAAAGUCUGACGGAGCAACGCCGCGUGAGUGAAGAAAAGGUUUUCGGAUCGUAAAACUCUGUUGUCAGAGAAGAACAAGUUGGAGAGUAACUGCUCCAGCCUUGACGGUAUCUGACCAGAAAGCCACGGCUAACUACGUGCCAGCAGCCGC